rnacentral:rRNA from 1 species
UGGUGGGUUGCCUUGUCAGGUUGAUUCCGGUAACGAACGAGACCUCCGCUUGCUAAAUAGUCACGGCUGCCCUGUCAGCCGGCCGACUUCUUAGAGGGACUUUGAGCGUUUCAGCUCAAGGAAGUUGGAGGCGAUAACA